AGAGAGAGAGAGGUAGAUGUAGAGAGAGAGAGUUGGAGGUAGAGAGAGAGAGAGUAGAGGUAGAGAGAGAGAGGUCGAGAGAGAGAGGUAGAGAGAGAGAGGUAGAGGUAGAGAGAGAGAGUUAGAGGUAGAGAGAGAGAGGUAGAGGUAGAGAGAGAGAGGUAGAGAGAGAGGUAGAGGUAGAGAGAGUUAGAGGUAGAGAGAGAGUUAGAGGUAGAGAGAGAUAGGUAGAGGUAGAGAGAGAGAGGUAGAGGUAGAGAGAGAGAGUUAGAGGUAGAGAGAGAGAGGUAGAGAGACAGAGUUAGAGGUAGAGGUAGAGAGAGAGAGUUAGAGGUAGAGAGAGAGAGGUAGAGAGAGAGAGAGUUAGAGGUAGAGAGAGAGAGGUAGAGGUAGAGAGAGAGAGGUAGAGGUAGAGAGUUAGAG